CAGUGGGGAAUAUUGGACAAUGGGGGCAACCCUGAUCCAGCAAUGCCGCGUGAGUGAUGAAGGCCUUCGGGUUGUAAAGCUCUUUUGGCGGGGACGAUGAUGACGGUACCCGCAGAAUAAGCCCCGGCUAACUUCGUGCCAGCAGCCGCGGUAAUACGAAGGGGGCAAGCGUUGUUCGGAAUUACUGGGCGUAAAGGGCGCGUAGGCGGCUUAUCAAGUCAGGCGUGAAAUUCCCGGGCUCAACCUGGGGGCUGCGCUUGAUACUGAUGAGCUUGAAUGCGGGAGAGGAUAGUGGAAUUCCCAGUGUAGAGGUGAAAUUCGUAGAUAUUUGGAAGAACACC
rnacentral:rRNA from 1 species